rnacentral:rRNA from 1 species
UACAGAGGGGGCAAGCGUUGUUCGGAAUUACUGGGCGUAAAGGGCGCGUAGGCGGCCCGCUAAGUCGAACGUGAAAUCCCCGGGCUCAACCCGGGAACUGCGUCUGAUACUGGAAGGCUUGAAUCCGGGAGAGGGAUGCGGAAUUCCAGGUGUAGCGGUGAAAUGCGUAGAUAUCUGGAGGAACACCGGUGGCGAAGGCGGCAUCCUGGACCGGUAUUGACGCUGAGGCGCGAAAGCCAGGGGAGCAAACGGG